CCUACGGGGGGCUGCAGUGGGGAAUAUUGGACAAUGGGGGGAACCCUGAUCCAGCCAUGCCGCGUGUGUGAAGAAGGCCCUCGGGUUGUAAAGCACUUUCAGUGAGGAAGAACGCCUGGUGGUUAAUACCCAUCAGGAAAGACAUCACUCACAGAAGAAGCACCGGCUAACUCCGUGCCAGCAGCCGCGGUAAUACGGAGGGUGCGUGCGUUAAUCGGAAUUACUGGGCGUAAAGCGCGCGUAGGUCGCUUGAUAAGCCGGUUGUGAAAGCCCCGGGCUCAACCUGGGAACGGCAUCCGGAACUGUCAAGCUAGAGUGCAGGAGAGGAAGGUAGAAUUCCCGGUGUAGCGGUGAAAUGCGUAGAGAUCGGGAGGAAUACCAGUGGCGAAGGCGGCCUUCUGGACUGACACUGACACUGAGGUGCGAAAGCGUGGGUAGCAAACAGGAUUAGAUACCCCAGUAGUC
rnacentral:rRNA from 1 species